UCUCCAAGUCACUGCAAUUUGAACUUUCUUCAUAGCACCUCAGUGAUCCUUUCUGUUCAAUACCAUCUGUAGCAGUUUUGUUUAGUGCAGCACCAGCAAUCCCAGAUCAGGCCUUGAAAGUGUGAGCAACUGAUUGGCAAAGGAAAGAUUUCUCUCUAUUUGGGCAAUCUUGAAUUCCUUGUUGAUGAUAUCAGAAUCCAGCACCCCUAUCCAGUGGAUUUAUCUAACUCAUCUACAAAAAGGAUCUUGGAUUGAGCAAACACAACCCAGAAAACAACAAGGGGAAAUGAAAAGUGUGGAACCUUUGAGAAAGGUUUACA